GGGCAUUUGGUCUAGGGGUGUGAGUGGAUUCAAAUCUAGGUCUUUUGAGCGCUUCUAAUAACUGCGGCAGAUGAUUUUCGUUUCGCAUAUUAAUAUUAAUAUGACUAUGAAAGGUCAUGGGUUCAAUUCCCAUAAUGUCCA